AUUGUUUCCGGCCUGCAAAUAAUGAAAAUUAAUUGAGAAUGUUACCAUAUAUCAAUGAAAAUAUAAAUAGUAUGUAAAGAAUAAUAUCAGUUAGCUUUUAAAAAAAAUUAAUAAAAAAAAAUCUCGACGGCACAAGAGAAAUUUAUUGAAGAAACAAAAGAGUAACAUCGAGACAUUUGAAGAUAUGGCAUUUAAAUUAUUUUUAUCAUGAUAAAGAAACUAUUAAUAAAAGGAAAAAUCUCUUAUAUGGGGAAACG
rnacentral:lncRNA from 1 species